ACGAACGCUGGCGGCGUGCCUAAUACAUGCAAGUAGAACGCUGAAGAGAGGAGCUUGCUCUUCUUGGAUGAGUUGCGAACGGGUGAGUAACGCGUAGGUAACCUGCCUUGUAGCGGGGGAUAACUAUUGGAAACGAUAGCUAAUACCGCAUAACAAUGGAUGACACAUGUCAUUUAUUUGAAAGGGGCAAUUGCUCCACUACAAGAUGGACCUGCGUUGUAUUAGCUAGUAGGUGAGGUAACGGCUCACCUAGGCGACGAUACAUAGCCGACCUGAGAGGGUGAUCGGCCACACUGGGACUGAGACACGGCCCAGACUCCUACGGGAGGCAGCAGUAGGGAAUCUUCGGCAAUGGGGGCAACCCUGACCGAGCAACGCCGCGUGAGUGAAGAAGGUUUUCGGAUCGUAAAGCUCUGUUGUAAGUCAAGAACGAGUGUGAGAGUGGAAAGUUCACACUGUGACGGUAGCUUACCAGAAAGGGACGGCUAACUACGUGCCAGCAGCCGCGGUAAUACGUAGGUCCCGAGCGUUGUCCGGAUUUAUUGGGCGUAAAGCGAGCGCAGGCGGUUUGAUAAGUCUGAAGUUAAAGGCUGUGGCUCAACCAUAGUUCGCUUUGGAAACUGUCAAACUUGAGUGCAGAAGGGGAGAGUGGAAUUCCAUGUGUAGCGGUGAAAUGCGUAGAUAUAUGGAGGAACACCGGUGGCGAAAGCGGCUCUCUGGUCUGUAACUGACGCUGAGGCUCGAAAGCGUGGGGAGCGAACAGGAUUAGAUACCCUGGUAGUCCACGCCGUAAACGAUGAGUGCUAGGUGUUGGAUCCUUUCCGGGAUUCAGUGCCGCAGCUAACGCAUUAAGCACUCCGCCUGGGGAGUACGACCGCAAGGUUGAAACUCAAAGGAAUUGACGGGGGCCCGCACAAGCGGUGGAGCAUGUGGUUUAAUUCGAAGCAACGCGAAGAACCUUACCAGGUCUUGACAUCCCGAUGCUAUUUCUAGAGAUAGAAAGUUACUUCGGUACAUCGGUGACAGGUGGUGCAUGGUUGUCGUCAGCUCGUGUCGUGAGAUGUUGGGUUAAGUCCCGCAACGAGCGCAACCCCUAUUGUUAGUUGCCAUCAUUCAGUUGGGCACUCUAGCGAGACUGCCGGUAAUAAACCGGAGGAAGGUGGGGAUGACGUCAAAUCAUCAUGCCCCUUAUGACCUGGGCUACACACGUGCUACAAUGGUUGGUACAACGAGUUGCGAGUCGGUGACGGUAAGCUAAUCUCUUAAAGCCAAUCUCAGUUCGGAUUGUAGGCUGCAACUCGCCUACAUGAAGUCGGAAUCGCUAGUAAUCGCGGAUCAGCACGCCGCGGUGAAUACGUUCCCGGGCCUUGUACACACCGCCCGUCACACCACGAGAGUUUGUAACACCCGAAGUCGGUGAGGUAACCUUUUGGAGCCAGCCGCCUAAGGUGGGAUAGAUGAUUGGGGUG
rnacentral:rRNA from 1 species